AGAAAUACUAUGGAAGUGAAUGGGUACCGUCAACCGUUUGGUCUUUAAAGCAUCAUCUUUUUAGCAUUCAGCAGAAGACAGAAACUCGUACAAAAAAUAUAUAAUUUUUACAUUUUAUUUAAAGAAAUAAAUAUAUAAAAUAAGCUCACACAGUUUAACAUUUAUUCCCAAAGCAACCAACUAUGUGUCAUUGUUGUUAACUAAGACUGAAACAACUAAAAACAGUUUUCUGUAAUUGAAAUAAAGCUAAAGUAAAAUGAUAUAGAUAAGUCGUGUAAGCUACUACUAAAUAUGGGAGAAACUUAUUUUCUGUAAAGUUGCUUUGCAAUGAUUUGUAAAGUAAAAAGCACUAAUUUUAGUACUGUUUUCAUUUAAUUUAUAAAGUAGUAACUUUUUACAAAAAAAGUUGAAAUGCUAAAAUUAUUAAAACUGACAUAACAUAAAGGCUAAAAAAAAAAUUAAUAAAAACUAAUUCCUAAACCUCAAACUGCAACCAUGAGGCUAAAAGCUAUGCCAUUUGUCACUCUGAGAAAGUGCUGUAACAGUUUAUAAAGACCUUGAUGUUGUUUGGACACCAGAACCGUGUGUGUGUGUGUGUGUGUGUGUGUGUCCACCUAGAUGUUCCCGUGUUUGGCUCCUGGGAUGAUCUGAAUCCUCUCAAAGUCCCUCCCCAGGAUGAUGAUGUCACAGCCAGAGUAGUACGCCUGUCUGACACUGAUAAUCACAGAGAGUUCUACAUAUCAUCUGAAUGUAAUGUUUUGCUACAUUUUUAUUUAUUUAUUUUCUAAUUGAGGAAUCAGAGUUUUAAAUGUUUUCAUUUACGGUUAAUAAUCUCUGCUGCUGCUGUUACACUCACAGUCACGAACAGCUUGAAUCAUCUGGACUUUUUGUUUUAUAUUAUUUCUUAACAUAUCAGACAAUAUCUGCCUUCAUAUUGCAUGCAUCUUGUUUAUACUCACUUAUAAACUUUUGUUUGCCCUUUUUGUUGUUUUUCGUUGUGUUGUUUUUUUAUCCUCAUUUGUAAGUCGCUUUGGAUAAAAGCGUCUGCUGAAUGAAUAAAUGUAAAUGUAAAUUUAUCAAAUUAUGGCUUCGUUUCCUUACAUGAUUAUCGAAAUAUUCAACUCAAAUAAACACCUGUAUGAUGCAGUAUUAGAAUUUAAUUUGGGGUCCUGAAAUAACCUGAACACUGCACAGAGGUUAAGAUGACCAUUUCUACAAAAAUAAAAUAAAAAUUGAAACUCAUCCUAUUUUGUUUUAAUUUUCCCUUACUAAAUUAUACAGUUACUGAUGCUAUGGACUGUGGGAUUACUAACAGGCUAUUGACAAAAAUCUGUCUCUAAAACUCUUUUCUCUUUAUUAAAAGUUGAUCUGGACAAGUACAUGAUAGAAUCAAAUGUUUUGCAAAUCCGCUGGAAAGACCAGAUCUCAAAUGAUUCGCGAAAUGCGCUUCGGAGUCCCGAUCUGAAUCAAAUGUUUUGCCGACUCGCUCCGAAGCCCCGAUCAGAUGAUUCGCUAAAUGCGCUUCGGAGUCCCGAUCUGAAUCAAAUGUUUUGCCGACUCGCUCCGAAGCACCGAUCAAAUUAUUCGCGAAAUGCGCUUCGGAGUCCCGAUCUGAAUCAAAUGUUUUGCCGACUCGCUCCGAAGCCCCGAUCAAAUGAUUCGCUAAAUGCGCUUCGGAGUCCCGAUCUGAAUCAAAUGUUUUGCCGACUCGCUCCGAAGCCCCGAUCAAAUUAUUCGCGAAACGCGCUUCGGAGUCCGGAUCUGAAUCAAAUGUUUUGCGAACUCCGAAGGCCCGAUCAUAAGAUUCGCGAAACGAUCUUCGGAGUCGCGAUAUGAAUCAAAUGUUUUGCGAACUCGCUCCAAAUCCCUGAUCUCAAGUUAUUUUCCAGUGAAAGCGCUACAGCGUUCAUUCGCUUGCCGAAAAAUAGCGGAGACCAAAAGUAUUCAGAUGUGUAUAGUGUGCCUUUGUGUUCUAAUUUAAAAAAAAAAAAAAAAAACUUAUUUAUCAUUUCAUAGUUUUCCCACCUACGAAAAUAAAAAUAAGCGUUGAAUUGGGCUAUAUGGUGAGAGGAGGAGACGACAAUUACUCUGAGGAAAGGUACUUUAGUGUGUGCUAAGCCCUUCACGGAGGAUGAGGUCCGUGUCCAACCGGAGUACGGUCGAUCUCGCACCGUGGGCUGUGCCUUCCAGGUUUGCGUGGAAAAGUUGCGGAGACGUUAAAUCACGCGUCAUAACGGGCUGUUUGUGGUGCAGAGCAGUAAAUGUCCAGAUGGUCCAGUCCCAGGCUCCGUGGCCGUGCACAAACGUAGUGACGAACUUCCGCUGUCGCCAGAAGUCGACCAAGUAUAGGUCUCUGCAGGAAAGUAAUUUGUGGUUUUAAGAAUUUGUGGUCAGAUAUAAAUAAAUAUGUAAUUCCUAAUAAAGUUAAAGAAACUCACUUUAAAAUAAUAAACAGAUACUAUCCAUGUAAUGAUUUUAUUGGUAAGUUUAAAGAAGGGUUUUUGCCAUUAUGUAGUUUCUGUAAAGAAGAAAAUGAAACAAUUGUACACUUAUUUUUCAGUUGUAAUUAUACUAAAUUAUUUUGGUCCCAAGUUUCUUGGUUUCUUUUUGAGUUAUUUUAUAAGUUUGUCACAAUAACCGAUGUUAAUGGUCUUGUUUAUGGAUUGUGAUACUGGUUUAAUCCAGGGGAAGUCGUGGCCUAAUGGUUAGAGAGUCCGACUCCCAAUCGAAAGGUUCUGAGUUCGAGUCCCGGGCCGGCAGGAAUUGUGGGUGGGAGUGCAUGUACAAUUCUCUCUCCACCUUCAAUACCACGACUUAGGUGCCCUUGAGCAAGGCAUUGAACCCCCAACUGCUCCCCGGGCGCCGCAGCAUAAAUGGCUGCCCACUGCUCCGGGUGUAUGUGUUCACUGCUCUGUGUGUGUGCACUUCGGGUGGGUUAAAUGCAGAGCACAAAUUCUGAGUAUGGGUCACCAUACUUGGCUGAAUGUCACUUCACUUCACUUU